CUGCCUUGAAGAGGGGGACAACAGUUGGAAACGACUGCUAAUACCGCAUAACGCAUAGGGGUCGCAUGAUCUUUAUGCCAAAGAUUUAUUGCUUCAAGAUGGCCUCGCGUCUGAUUAGCUAGUUGGCGGGGUAACGGCCCACCAAGGCGACGAUCAGUAGCCGGACUGAGAGGUUGAACGGCCACAUUGGGACUGAGAUACGGCCCAGACUCCUACGGGAGGCAGCAGUGGGGAAUAUUGGGCAAUGGGCGCAAGCCUGACCCAGCAACGCCGCGUGAAGGAAGAAGGCUUUCGGGUUGUAAACUUCUUUUAAGAGGGAAGAGUAGAAGACGGUACCUCUAGAAUAAGCCACGGCUAACUACGUGCCAGCAGCCGCGGUAAUACGUAGGUGGCAAGCGUUGUCCGGAUUUACUGGGUGUAAAGGGCGUGCAGCCGGGUCUGCAAGUCAGAUGUGAAAUCCAUGGGCUCAACCCAUGAACUGCAUUUGAAACUGUAGAUCUUGAGUGUCGGAGGGGCAAUCGGAAUUCCUAGUGUAGCGGUGAAAUGCGUAGAUAUUAGGAGGAACAC
rnacentral:rRNA from 1 species